CUCAGAACUGGGCUCAGGCCUUCUGUGCCCAGACCCUCCCGGGGUGCUCUGCUAACUCACCUGUAGCUCAUUGACGCGACUCUCCCUUAUCAAAGGGCACCUUCUCCUCAGUCUCAUUCCCUAGGGUGUCUCCGAGCUUGGUAACCACCCGUUCCCUUGUUUGUCGUCUUCCCGGAUAGACUGUCAGGUCCUCGGGGCAGUACCAGGAGAUUGAACCCAGGGGAGCUCUACAGUGAGCUACAUCUUUGCCUUGAGAUAUUUGAGUUUCCAUCUGGAAAAAAGUUCAUGGAUCAUCAUGUUUGAGCGGUAGUGGAGGGAGAGGCCACAUUCAUUGGCCCUCCAGCUCUGCUAAUAGAUGUGACCCAGCAACAUCUGUGUCGGAAGCAGAAAGGUGGUGUCAUCACAUUUCUCUCUGAGGAACCCUAGCAAUAAUCUGAUUCAUGAAAACACACACAUCCUUCCUGGAGCCCUGGAACUGAAUACAAAUUCAUUGCCCACCAUUCCUAGAAUAUGGACCUGGUGUAGCUCACCUCCUGACACUGGGUUGUCAGGCAGAUAGCACUUGGAUUUAUUAACAACCACAUUCCUUUCCUGUUCCUAUUUCAACUAUCAUUCUAAAAGAUGUCUAAGAGGGAAAAACCAAAAUCACAAGACUGGACUCAUUUCAUCUGUUGGAAUCCACAAUUCUCCAGCUGCUUGAAGGAUAGCUCAAGCCUUGUGUGAUGGGCACAUGAAGACCACUCAUUGGGGGGGAUUCCUCUUUCGCAGACACACCUGGCCGCACCUCCCCUUAGCCUUAGAUUUUUAUUUAAUUAUAGCAGAGAAGAGAUUUCUAUUGGGGAUAUUUUCCCACUUGACAGCAACUUUAGCCAAUUCUUUAAUCCUGAUAGUACAUUCUUCUUUAAUAUGAACAUGAGAUUCAGCUAACAUUAUAUUACAUUAAACCUAACAUACUAAUGUCACAAGUUAUUUUGGGGACUUUUUCAUCAUUUGUGAGUAUGGGUAGAUUCUCUGAUCUAUAUUAUACAUUUACAGCUUUGCUUACAAUUCUAAACUAGAUUAUUCAGUAUGAUUACAUUGGCAUUUUAUUAAAUGUGUGUAAAUUCAUACCCAUACCCAAGGUCAUGGAAGCAUGCAUUCCACUGAAAAAAUUUGAGUUUUAUUUACUUCCAUUUGCUUAUCUCUGGUGCUGAAAAAUUUCAGAACUCAUAGAAAUAACUUUUAUAAAAAG
rnacentral:lncRNA from 1 species